UGUAUGUCUUGAGUGCCGGAGAGGUAAUCGGAAUUCCUUGUGUAGCGGUGAAAUGCGUANAUAUAAGGAAGAACACCAGUGGCGAAGGCGGAUUACUGGACGGUAACUGACGGUGAGGCGCGAAAGCGUGGGGAGCGAACAGGAUUAGAUACCCUGGUAGUCCACGCUGUAAACGAUGGAUACUAGGUGUGCGGGGACUGACCCCCUGCGUGCCGCAGUUAACACAAUAAGUAUCCCACCUGGGGAGU
rnacentral:rRNA from 1 species